UGGAAGAUACUUAACGGAGUGGUGGAGUAGCUGAAGAGGCACUGGAUGCGGACAUUCAAGACAGGAUCAUGACGGAGAGGGAGAUGCGAAGCUACAUCCACGAGUGUCAACGCCAAGUCUCUGAGCGUGAAGCCUCCUGGAAGUCCGAACUUUCUCAUCUCAAGGAUGGCAAUGAAGUGGUGAAUAUGAACCAAUGCUAUUCGGGCCCCCUCCCUUUCUCAUGCUGCUAAGCAAGGAAAAGCAAUGGAAAAAGGAAAUAUGGAAGUUAUUAAAAAGGUAGCAGAAGCCUUGGAUGAAAUAGGAAGACUGACAAAAAAAUGGUGGCAAAAUUAUGUUAGGGCAUCACUGUUUUGGUUUUGUUUCAUACAGAACUGUAUAUUUCUGCCAAAUGAAACUUGUUGACUUACUGGUAGCUUCAUGUCAUGGACUGGGCGCUUGUCUUCCUCCCGAAAAGUCGGCUCCAUAAGUGGUACUGCGUACCCCGUGCAUUAUGUCCAAGAACCAACCUAGGAGAUGCAAUAGGGAUCUACCCUACCUGCCUUGCCGCUCACAAACUAAUGCACUUGCAAGGUGCUCGGUGUAGAACUCGCAUCCCCAAUGAGUCAGUACAUGACAUUCAACUCCAUAUUAAUUGGUCACUGAGCUGUUCAACUUCAGCUUAAUUAAACUUGGUCUGAACUGAAUCCAAGCCCAACUAGGCUGUGAUACCCCUGUUCCAUAAUAUGCUAAUUGGUCCUUAAUUUGAAUAUAAUUAUGUGUUUAACA